CCCUUCUUUGCCAAUCAACCAUUUAAAGCCAACCCCAACUUACUGGGAGAAAGGCUAAGAUGAUGAUGGUGAUAAUAUACUCGUGGGCCUUUGCAUGUCCAUCUUUUAGAUUCUCUAUACAAAAUGGAGAACAAUCUCUGUAUACAAAGCUAUGUAUCAUUCCUUCCCAUUGAGGCUAUAGGAUCUAUGGGUUUGGAUUUUAUAGUACCUAAAACAGUAAUAUUAGUGGAAAUAUUUCUGAAAAUGUUUGGCCAUGUCUACAGGGGCAUCCUUGUCUGCAGAUACCUAUUCAUGGCAACAUACGGAAGCUUAAGUGAAGAUAUCGACUUUCUGAUGGCUCAAUGGUACAUGCAUGGUUUUCUUAAUGCAUGUGGAUAAUAACUAGUUUUAGAGAGAAAAAAAAAAUUAAUCCAAGUUACUGUUAUGUUGCAGAGAUGCCAACUACUUGGUGGAAUUUUCAGAUACAGGUUGAACCUCCAACUCCAAUUCACCAUUGACAAACGGGAUACAAUUUUUCUCCUUCCAACAAGUACUGUUCUAUUAACGGAUCUGAGCAAACUUCCAUUCAAUACAACAGCUUGGAUUAGAGAAGCUAGACCUGGUGCCUCUCAUCCAUGUUCAAGUCUCUGAGGGAAAAGGGGGAUACAAGUCAAAGUAAAGGUUGUCUUCUUUGCAAUUGAGUGCCUAUGACUCAGUUCAUUCAUGGAUGAGGCCCACUUGACUGCAUGGUCAAAUGAUCAAGACCAGCACCCAUCUGCUUGCCCCUACCGUUGAGGAUUUUUGUACAGAAGACUCACUUGAGCUGCCUAAUUAAGCUGCAUAGUCAGAUUAUGAAGACAACACGUCUGCUCACAUCUAUCACUUGUGGGUGAUUGUACACAAAACAAGUGGAUUGGAGAAUCCUACCUGUCUGAUUUUCUCUGCUGAGUGUAGACUAUUGGCUCAAUGUUUUCAUCACCUGUUUCCUUGAAGGCUGUUACUGAGAAAGAUAGGAUUGUCCUAUUGAUUUGAUAUUUAUACAGUUGACUGUCAACCACAGGACUUAUAAGAUUGACAUACCAGAUAAUACACAUACACCCAUGAGUUGUGCAGGCCCAGUCAAGCAGUGGACCCUUAGACAUAAGGGCAAGCUCCAAAUUGAAAAUGAGUCAAUAGGUCUCUUGUUUGUUAAGGGUGGGCAAUUUUGUCUUCAAAAGGGAUUCUUCAAAUUGAGCAUAGAUGUUCCUCAUCGCUUGUGAGUUCAUCAGCUAGCUAGGCUUCAUGAAUAGCUUUUGGGAAGUAAUGGACACUUUACUAGCUGUUUGUAGCUUUAUCCAUGUGUUCAGUUAGAAAGCCAAUGUAUGUAAAACAGAUCUGCAGUAUAACUGUUAUGCUUAUUACAAGUAAUCAAACCGGUUUUAUGUGUGAUGUUUAUGUUAAGGAAUUGAUCAGCCAUUGUAUUUAUUGUUUGGUUGUGGAUAUCUCUGUUUAACCUUUUGUUCAUACUAUGAAAUUUGCUGAGUUCAGUUCAAUGUUGAUUCAAUUCUGUUUAACCUUUUGUGUCUAUUGUUGCAAUAUUCUUGUUUGUUUACAUUAUUUGCCCCUCUUUAAAUCCUGGAUUCUUUAAGAUUUGUAAGAUCUGUUCUAAUGGGAUGCUUUUCUCUUCUAGGCUAGUCUUCUUUCAGUAAUUUGAGUAGUCCUUGAAAGAUAUUCAGUGAUAAGUGGCCGAGAAGAGCAAAAAGAAAUCAUUCAUAAGGCAGGAUCACAAGAUUGAUGUAAAAUGUUUUUUCAAUGAAAGGAAUUGGGAAAUCGGUUACAACGGUUGCAAGGAAUGUUCAGUGAUGUGAAGUGUAGAUUGAGCUGUUGGACCAUACCAGGAAGUGUCAAUAAUGCAGCCCAAGUUGGAGCAGUGGAAGAAUAUGGAGAUCACUGUCUGCAGUUGCCUAAUCAUGGCAUCAUACGGGUGCUUAAGUGAAGAUCUCAACUUUCCGAUGGCUCAAUGAGAUGCCACAUACUUGGUGGAAAUUUCAAAUACAAGUCGAAUCUUGAUCUCCAAUCUCCCUAUUGAAAACCUGGCUACAAUUUUGCCCCUUUCAACAAAUACCAUUCUACAAAUGGAUUCAGUCAAAUUUCCGUCCAAUACAACAUCUUGGAUUAGAGAAGCGGUGCCUCUCAUCCCUUUCAUGUUCAAGUCUUUGAGGGAAAUGGGGGUACUAGUCAAAGUAAAGGUCGUCUUCUCUGCAAUUGAGGGUCUGUGGCUCAGCCCAUUCAUGAAUGGGGCCGACUUGACUGCAUGGUCAGAUGAUCAGGACCACCACCCAACUGCUUACCCCUUCUGUUGUGGAUGAUUGUAUAGAAGACAAACUGAUGGUAGAAUCUGAGCUACUUGACUUAAAAGCUACAUAGUCAAAUUAUCAAGACUACACAUCUGCACACACCUACCAUUUACAGGUGUUGUACAAGAAGCACACAGAUAGGAGAAUCCUAGCUUUCUGAUUUUCUCUUGAAUGUGGACUAUUGGCUGAUUUUUUUCAUCGCCCGGUUGCUGAAUG